rnacentral:rRNA from 1 species
UACGAAGGUCCCGAGCGUUAUCCGGAUUUAUUGGGUUUAAAGGGUGCGUAGGCGGAUUAUUAAGUCAGUGGUGAAAGCCUUCAGCUUAACUGAAGAAUUGCCAUUGAUACUGAUGAUCUUGAGUACGAUUGAGGUAGGCGGAAUGUGUCAUGUAGCGGUGAAAUGCUUAGAUAUGACACAGAACACCGAUUGCGAAGGCAGCUUACUAAGUCGUAACUGACGCUGAUGCACGAAAGCGUGGGGGAGCAAACAGG